rnacentral:rRNA from 1 species
UACGUAGGGUGCGAGCGUUAAUCGGAAUUACUGGGCGUAAAGCGUGCGCAGGCGGUUUUGUAAGUCUGUCGUGAAAUCCCCGGGCUCAACCUGGGAAUUGCGAUGGAGACUGCAAGGCUAGAAUCUGGCAGAGGGGGGUAGAAUUCCACGUGUAGCAGUGAAAUGCGUAGAGAUGUGGAGGAACACCGAUGGCGAAGGCAGCCCCCUGGGUCAAGAUUGACGCUCAUGCACGAAAGCGUGGGGAGCAAACGAGG